CAAAGAACUUUGAAGAGAGAGUUCAAGAGGACGUGAAACCACAAGGGGCGAAACGGAUAGAGUUGACGAGACCGGCGGUGAUCAGUGCUGUUGAGGGCUCGGCCGUGCGAUCGGCUCCUGAUGAGGAGUCGCGUGCGGUUUGGGUGAGAACUUGACGGUGCGCAUUCACUGUCGGUAUACGCUGAGACGCUCGGCGUUCCCUUCUGAACCGUGCCGUGUGGCCCACCUCGGUGGUAACCUGUGGUGCGGGGAGGUUGUUGUGAGCGGUGAGCGGCUGGUUCGGGCCUCGCCUUUGCGCGGAGCUUACGGACGCUCGUCUGCGGCGUUGUCGGUCGCGUGCGACUGCCGGCGUUUGUGGGUCUGUGUUCGUGAGCGCUGCUAUCAGGCUUGCUCUCGGUGUGAAAGUCGACCACCUAUCCGACCCGUCUUGAAACACGGACCAAGAAGUCUAGUAUGUGCGCGAGUCAAUGGGUGUUAAACCUACUGGCGAAAUGAAAGUAAAGGCCGGCUCGACUGGCUGAUAUGUGAUCCGUGGCUGCGGCCGCGGCGCAACAUAGCCCCAUGCCGACUGCUUGCAGUGGUGUGGAGGUAGAGCGUACAUACUGGGACCCGAAAGAUGGUGAACUAUGCCUGAGCAGGACGAAGCCAGAGGAAACUCUGGUGGAGGUCCGAAGCGGUUCUGACGUGCAAAUCGAUCGUCUGACUUGGGUAUAGGGGCGAAAGACUAAUCGAACCAUCUAGUAGCUGGUUCCCUCCGAAGUUUCCCCCAGGAUAGCUGGAGCUUAUUGCUGUUAUAUUCGGUAAAGCGAAUGAUUAGAGGACUUGGGGACGAAAUGUUCUCAACCUAUUCUCAAACUUUCAAUGGGUACGAUGUCGCGGUUGCUUGCGUGAACCGUGACUGCGAAAGCAAGCUCCAAGUGGGCCAUUUUUGGUAAGCAGAACUGGCGAUGCGGGAUGAACCGAACGUUGAGUUAAGGUGCCUAACUCUCCGCUCAUGAGACCCCAUAAAAGGCGUUAGUUGAUAUAGACAGCAGGACGGUGGCCAUGGAAGUCGGAAACCGCCAAGGAGUGUGUAACAACUCACCUGCCGAAUCAACUAGCCCUGAAAAUGGAUGGCGCUUGAGCGGGGGACCUAUACUCGACCGUUGUUGGCUUGUACGAUCGGUAACGUCUGGCCUCAACGAGUAGGAGGGUCGCAGCGGUUAGCGUAGAAGGCUUUGGGC
rnacentral:rRNA from 1 species